rnacentral:pre_miRNA from 1 species
ACUAGGAUUGCUGGAUCAUAUAUAGUGUAUGUGUGUUUACCUUUCUGAGACACUGACAAAAUGUUUUCCAAAGUGGCAGUCUCAUUUUGUAUUCCCAUCAGCAAU